GAAAGCUGCCGCACAUGCGCGAUGAAAAAAUGAUAUAGUUAUUCAAAUAAAUGGCUACUUGGAGAAUAUAACGGUAUUGGAACGUAAAGAAAUUGUUUAUUGUUUUAGGGGAACGAUUGCUUGGUGCUUUCUUGAAAAUCGGAAGCGUUCUUUUUGGUAAGACACGGUUUCAUUUAGGUUAUACUUGAAGGAAAUUUUUCGAAGAGACAAAGGCAAAAUGAUCGGAGGUCCUUGGGCGGGCCUAUUUCCAGAAUCAUGGGGCAGGUGAGUUUAUUAGAUGCGGACUUAAAUUUCGGUGAGAUGCUUUGAUUUCACGCAUCAGUGGAGAAAUUUGCUGGAGUGCAUCUUCCAGCAAAUGGCGUCUCGCCUAUCCCAUGCGAAGAAAGUUUCGAAGAAAGUCUCGGUGACGCGAACAUACAUGCCUACAUGUUAAACUCACAUAUAUGACGUAAUUCUUUGAUAAAGGUAGUAUUUCCUCCACAGUAAAUGUCACGUGAGUUGACUCGAACAAUUAACCCGUUUGCUUCAUUAGCGUAUAUAAAGCAGACACCUCUAGAAGCGUCGACCUACCGUCCUUACCGGAUUCAAAGUUGUAAAGCAGUUAAAAAAUAAA